AUGUUUCAAGAAACCUACCUGCAAAGCUACAAUGCUGUGAAGAGGUGAAGCCCAAAUGAUACAGACUCAGACAUGGAUGCAGCAGUGCCAGAACACCUGAAGCAUGCUCCAGGAAGUGCUGGGGCUUGUGGAUAUAAAAAAUUAGCCAUAAACAACUUUCAAAAACUCUAAAAACAUUUACACAUGUGUUAACCAUUAUCCAGUAUUUUUGUUGUUUACUUGUUUGAUAUAUGGCUGUUUAACAAUAAUGCAAGACUGUUGGGGGA